GACGAACCGUGCGAACGUUAUUCGGAAUCACUGGGCUUAAAGCGCGUGUAGGCGGGUCGGCACGUCGGUCGCUGAAAUCCCCCGGCUCAACCGGGGAACGGGCCCCGAUACGACCGACCUGGAGGGGGGUAGGGGGAGCCGGAACUUCCGGUGGAGCGGUGAAAUGCGUGAGAUCGGAAGGAACGCCCGUGGCGAAAGCGGGCUCCUGGACCCCACCUGACGCUGAGACGCGAAAGCCAGGGAGCGAACGGG
rnacentral:rRNA from 1 species